UUGAUCGACAUUGCCGACACUCUCUCUCUCCCUCACUCACACUCUCCCUCUCUCCCACUCACACUCUCACCCUCUCUAUCAGCCGAACCCAGCAAGAAAAACAGAGCAACCAUUUACCUGCAGACCUCUCCCUCCAGUAGCUUCGCCUAGACCUCGCGCAGCCGCCGGUGGCAUCCUUGCGCCGCAACAUGGACUGUAGUGACGGCGGAGGACCUAGCUCCGUUUGAGCCGAUUUCGAAUCAAUCUCAAUAUCUUGAGCUACAAGCCACCAAUACUCUUGAUUCUGGGCUCAUAUGAUUCGCAUAAACUUUCUGAACAAGCACCAGGAAGGAUCGGACCUGGAUAGAGCGAUUUCACGUUCGUCGGAGCUCGACCGGUUUUCAAUCGAAAACCAAACCUUUCGAUCGAGAUAUCUCGAGCUACAGACCAUCAUUUCUUGUGAUUCUUGCGCUGGUAAACUCAUAUUGAAGUUCUGAACAACUCUCAUGAAGAGAUCGAAGCAAGUUAUUGAAGUUUUUACGUCGGAAUUCAAGCUCGCCGGAUUCUGGAAUUUUUCCGGCCACUGAAGCUUUCGAUCGUGAUAUCUCGAGUUGUAGAACUUCGUUUUGGGUGAUUAUUGAACGAGUGAGUUAAUAUUGAUGUUCUUAACAACUCUCCAGAAGGAAUCGAGGCCAAAAGAUGAAGUUUUUACGUGGAAAAAUCGGUUGGACGGUUUCUGCAAAUUUCGCCGGUUUCUGGAAAUUUUCCGGCCAUCACGACUGUUUUAGGUGAUUGGCGGUCUUCCUAGGGUGAGCUGUUUCGGUGUGUUUUGUGUUAAAGUGAAGACGCAGCGGGAAUAUCAAGGUGAGUAAACCUCACAUGGUUCAUAUUACGAACCAAAUGUCUUUAAUUACCUUGUUUAUAUUGUGAGUAAAGUGAAAAUGCGUAUGGAAAUACAAUAUAUCAUGUUAUUGUUGAUUUUAUUGUGAGAAAGCAUAAGUGA